rnacentral:rRNA from 1 species
UACGUAGGGUGCAAGCGUUGUCCGGAAUUAUUGGGCGUAAAGAGCUCGUAGGCGGUUAGUCGCGUCUGCUGUGAAAACUCGGGGCUUAACUCCGGGCCUGCAGUGGGUACGGGCUGACUAGAGUGCGGUAGGGGAGACUGGAAUUCCUGGUGUAGCGGUGAAAUGCACAGAUAUCAGGAGGAACACCGGUGGCGAAGGCGGGUCUCUGGGCCGUAACUGACGCUGAGGAGCGAAAGCGUGGGGAGCGAACAGG